rnacentral:rRNA from 1 species
AGAGCGAACGCUGGCGGCAGGCCUAACACAUGCAAGUCGAGCGCCCCGCAAGGGGAGCGGCAGACGGGAGAGUAACACGUGGGAACGUACCCUUCAGUUCGGAACAACCCAGGGAAACUUGGGCUAAUACCGGAUACGUCCGUAAGGAGAAAGAUUUAUCGCUGAAGGAUCGGCCCGCGUCUGAUUAGCUUGUUGGUGAGGUAACGGCUCACCAAGGCUACGAUCAGUAGCUGGUCUGAGAGGAUGAUCAGCCUCACUGGGACUGAGACACGGCCCAGACUCCUACGGGAGGCAGCAGUGGGGAAUAUUGGACAAUGGGCGCAAGCCUGAUCCAGCCAUGCCGCGUGAGUGAUGAAGGCCCUAGGGUUGUAAAGCUCUUUGUGCGGGAAGAUAAUGACGGUACCGCAAGAAUAAGCCCCGGCUAACUUCGUGCCAGCAGCCGC